AGUACUACCAGGUGACCACAUAGGAAACAUUCUCAAUAAGGAGGCUAAUGCCCUCUUUGACCUAAUUCAAAAUAGAAAGGGAAAAAAAGGAAACUUAAUUAAUAUUAUGAAUUUUACCUACAUACCAAAUUGACUCAAUUAUUAAAGUGCAAUAACCCUAAAAGGGGUCACAAUUACCUCAGCAUCCCUGGAGACUGUUGUUGAAUUUCCUGUUCUCUCUUUGUUUUCAUUUGCUCUUCUCUUCGAUACACUACAUUCCUGGAAAGGUUCAAGGUAGCAUGAGAGUAGACAACUUGUGCUUGAGAAAUGUUAACCCUUUGGUGACACCCCCUAAAAAUGGCUAUUUUGAUAUGUUUUGGUAAAAAAUAACCAGCUCAUAUUGUAUUCAACCAAUUUUGUUAUGCUAUAUGUCCUUUUAAAGCUAAAUAAAUUGACAUCAAGACUAUGUUGUAAGUUUCUUUGAAUCUCUUUUAAUUAAUUAAUUUCGGUCCAUUUAUGCUAUUUAAAAUGUCACGCAAUACACAUUAGUAGAAAAUUGGAAAAUUAAACGAGACUUACCUGGAAGUUGAAGUUUGAUUGAAAUUCUACCAUGGCAUUUGCAGGAAUGAGGUCACGUGAGAUAGUAAGCAUGUGAUAUCCGGGCUCAGUCUUGAAAGCAGUUUGGUGUGGCUUUGAUGGUACAGGAAAACAGGUCACUAUGAAGAGCGUAAGGGCCCAUGGGAUGGGUGGGAUGUGACCUCCUCAUUCCUGCAAAUGCCACAGUAGAAUUUCAAUCAAACUUCAACUUCCAGGUAAGUCUCGUUUAAUUUUUCAAUUCUACCUCGCAUUUGCAUACAAUCAGAGGUCACGUGAGAUUUCAAAGCUCAAAGCCACAGCAAAUAACAGGCAUAGUAACUGUAACACCAUGGCAUGUACUUUAAUGAUACUCUCAGGUUAAUUAAGGCCUGGGUCAAAAAUGAUUUUCGCCUCCAGUGCCCCCCCAGCAGGGUUCGCGGAAUAUGCGUGGACUACGCGAGUAACCAUAGUUACUUGGGAUCAAGAUCGCGUAUUUCGUGAACGGCUUCCGCCAUUUUGAAGUGUCGGCUUUGCAUUGGUUUUUGCCGUCUUCGCUGGUGAAUCCGACAAUGUAGAGGAAGACACCGAAAGAAGGGUUUUGAAUGCUUUGGAAACAAUUCCUCAAAGAAGCAGAUGAAUUUACUAUCAAAAGUAAUCCCCCAAAGCAGUUGUUAGGGCUGGCAUCCAAACAUUUUUGAGCCAUGGAAACCAAAAGUGGAAUGUUUUGCUUAACACCUACUUUGAACA